rnacentral:lncRNA from 12 species
CCAUCCAACUUGCUCUGAAAUAUAGUGUCUAGGAAUAUCGCACUGGCCCUUCAUCCAAAGUCUAAUUGUCUGAAAGAACUGCAUCCAAGAUGCUGUGAUUCCAUGAGAUGAAACACAACAAGUGCGAGGCUGCUCGGGAAGCAAGUGUUCAAGAAAGAGAAGAUUUCAUUAGGCUGAUUUGUCCCGGGGAAUGAGAUUAAGCAGAGUGUGCGCACCUCACACGGAGGUGGGAUUCCCAGCAGGAGUCGACCCCGUCGUCAAGAGGCCAUGGGGCAAAGGGCCUUCUGAGCUCAAGGUUGAGAAUGUCCCAAAGUCCCUCAAUUCAGACUCACCGGCUUGAUUUGAAGAGGUGAUUAUUUCCACCACCAUCUCCAUCUUCUGAAGGACUCGAUCCCAGCCACUGCCCUGAGUGUGAUCCCUACACUACACACAGAGUGCCAAUGAGGAGAACCCAGGACCAUAGGAUGCCACUCAAUGUCCCACUGAGUCUGGCAGAGCUGGGACAACCAGCUCUGUCACUAACCAGCUGUGUGAUUCUGGGCAAGUAACUUAACCCCUCUGAGCUUCAUUUCCUUCUUCAAAUGGGGAUAAUAAACAAGUUGUUCCUCAUCUCUGGGUCUCUGUU